UCUAUUUUUAACUUCGUUAACUGAGUGUACUGAGAAUGAGAGAGAGAGAGCGUAUACCGCCAAUAAAGACAGAUGUCAAACUGUUAUGUUUACGUUAAGAAACUAAUAAAAAAUUAUAAAAACUUAAGUCUAUCGAUAAAUGCUCAAACAAAACAAGAAUAACAGUGUUAUUGUGCAUUUUGUUUCUUCAAGACUCGUUAUGUGCCUCUUUCCGUGUUGGAAGGUCCCUCUUAGGAAUGGAAAAUAGACAGGAAUCCGGAAAGCUUCUACUCAGAUAAUUAUUCUUCAAUCAUAUAUUGUUUCGAUCAGGAAUUUUCAGGAAUCAGGUAAUUUCUUCUCAAUUUAUUUCCGAUGUUUAAAUUUUGCUUCUUUUCUUUUUUACGUUAAUAAAAAGAAGUCUAUAUUCAGUGUUAAGUUUGGAUUGAAAUUAUCGGAGCACUAAUUUUAGGUUAGGAAAUUAUUUUGGAUUUUUUUAGGUUAGAUUUUUUAAUCAAAUUUAACAGAGCUCUUACCCUUACUAAAUUGGACUGCCUUUGGUCAACUUUUUCCUCUUCUUAUAUAGCCUUUUCCCCUUCUCCAAUAAAGUUUCUUCCUUUUGUUUAAAACCCUCUAUCCUCAUUGGUAGAUGGGUUUCGCGCCAUUUCUUCUUUUAAAAACAUUUUAAAGAUUUCUAAAUGUCGAAAACGCCAUCUAUCGGAUUUCUUUUGAAUUACCCAAAAAUAAAAAAUUUCUUUUUUUAAAAUCUUCUUUAUUCCUUCAUUAUUCUUGAUGAGACUUCGUAUUUAAUGCAUAUAUCCUUCUAUUUCAAUCAUCCAUUGGAGGUUUCAAAAUUCUCCAACCACAAAAGAAGUUUGAAGUUUACAAAUUUAAAAUCAAAUUUCCAAAGUCAAAAUCUUUCGAAAUCUAAUAAAUUAGAUGUAGCUGACACUGAUUUUACCGUUUUGGAUGGUUUUGAAUGAAUAUUAACAGUUUUAAGAGAAUUAUGAGCAACUAAAAAUUAAAUGUCAAAUGAAUUGAGGUUAUGUCUCUCUCUCUCUCUCUCAGGUAACCUGUCCAAAUCUGUCUUGGAAGCUUUAUUACACUAUAUUAUGGGUAAAGCAGACUGGACCACUGGGAAAAGCUGCAAAAACAUUAUCUAGUGUUUAAUUACAUUAAUUCUUAUGCAUAAUAU